AAAAAAUGAUUUUGGAGGGUGGUAUAUAUAACCCAUUCAUAUUGUUUAAAAAAUACCCAAAUGUAUUAGUCAGCUAGAAAAAUAAAUUACAAUGGGUAAAUUCUACCUACACUACCCAUUUUUUAACAGUGACAACUGCUACCUAAAAAUAUAUAGUAACAUAUACUUAAAAACUAUUGGUCCCUCACGCACUUGUCGAGGGUUUUGAGUGCUGCUGCUCGUCUGUUGUUGAGCUGCUGUUUUGAAGGUUAAAGAGGAGUUCCAGCACAGCUUGACUGGUACACACCACAUCUUUUACAGCUGUUGCGUGCCAAAGGAGGAGCUGCUGGUGCUAGGAUGCAUCCACUCCUUAACACUGUAAAUGAGGACGGACGUGAAGACUACACAGAUCAAACCAUGAAGGUGCUCGUGAUCCAUAAUGUCAUCGCUGAAGAUGACCCAGUAGAUGUGUCUGUUGUCAUAGAGGACAUCCAAGUGCUGAAAGGGUGUGUAAACAAGACCAAGGCAUGUAUGCUGUUGGCUUGAUCUACGCCCUCAACCUUCAAGAAGCUCAAGUACACUUGCAAAGUUUUCCAGAAAAUUGUUGUGGAGCUUCCUGGAGCAAAACUGCCCAAGUAGGUCCACAGCCUCAGAAGGAACGAAUGGAAUGAACUGUUUUACCCACAUUGAGUCACAAACUUUUAUACACCUUUAUUCCGCUUCUAUAACUUGCAUUAUUAUUCAUGUUAUAUUUUGAAUGUAAUCUGUUGUUAUGACCUAUUGGGGUUAAUAAAUGUUUUAAAAACUUAAAA